AACUAGCCCCGAUGGGAACGGCAUCCUUUUUUGUUUUCUCUUCACAGGUCUAUAAGAUUGACUUAUGGUCACAAAACAAAAAAGAUACAGUGGACAGCGGGAUCAGGC
rnacentral:sRNA from 1 species